rnacentral:rRNA from 1 species
UACGGAGGGGGCUAGCGUUGUUCGGAAUUACUGGGCGUAAAGCGCACGUAGGCGGAUUGCUAAGUCAGGGGUGAAAUCCUGGAGCUCAACUCCAGAACUGCCUUUGAUACUGGUGAUCUUGAGUCCGGGAGAGGUGAGUGGAACUGCGAGUGUAGAGGUGAAAUUCGUAGAUAUUCGCAAGAACACCAGUGGCGAAGGCGGCUCACUGGCCCGGUACUGACGCUGAGGUGCGAAAGCGUGGGGAGCGAACAGGA